GGGUGGCGAGUGGCGGACGGGUGAGGAAUACAUCGGAAUCUACUCUGUCGUGGGGGAGUAACGUAGGGAAACUUAACGCUAAUACCGCAUACGACCUACGGGUGAAAGCAGGGGAUCUUCGGACCUUGCGCGAUUGAAUGAGCCGAUGUCGGAUUAGCUAGUUGGCGGGGUAAAGGCCCACCAAGGCGACGAUCCGUAGCUGGUCUGAGAGGAUGAUCAGCCACACUGGAACUGAGACACGGUCCAGACUCCUACGGGAGGCAAG
rnacentral:rRNA from 1 species